rnacentral:tRNA from 1 species
AAAGGAGAACCUCACCCCUCCCUAAGACU